rfam:Ornithorhynchus anatinus chromosome 1, whole genome shotgun sequence.
AAGUAACACUCUGUGGCAGACACCGUUGUCUGACUCAAUUUUGAGCUUGCUAUAAUAAAAAAAAAAAAGCCUAACCUAUUCCAGUGGUCUCUUUUAAAUGAGACCAUCUGUUAUAUAGACUGUGACAGU